UACGGGGGGGGGCAAGCGUUGUUCGGAAUUACUGGGCGUAAAGGGCUCGUAGGCGGCCAACUAAGUCAGACGUGAAAUCCCUCGGCUUAACCGGGGAACUGCAUCUGAUACUGGAUGGCUUGAGUUCGGGAGAGGGAGUGCGGAAUUCCAGGUGUACGCGGUGAAAUGCGUAGAUAUCUGGAGGAACACCGGUGGCGAAGGCGGCAUCCUGGACCGACACUGACGCUGAGGAGCGAAAGCCAGGGGAGCAAAGCGGG
rnacentral:rRNA from 1 species